CUUGUUUCUGUAGCAGUUUUUGCGGCCAUUCUGGUCACCUGUGGGUGUUGCUGUAUCCCCUGUUUACGUCAGCCGUUGCAACGCCUCAUCAAAACUGCUAUUUCUCCCUCUCCUCUAUCUGACCCCGUCCUCGCGUUGCCUCUCCUUACCACCGGUGACAUUGAUGUCUCCACUGGCCAGGACCCACCACCCCCUGUACCUCUUCCCCUGCAUGUUUACGUCGACCCGGCCUCCUCUUUCGUGGAUAGCGAUUCGGAUUCUGACGACUUGAUUGCUCUGAAAGAUACUUGCCUUUACCCAUGAAACUAACCAUUAGUCGAUUACACCCUGGCUACUCAAUAUCCUUCAAGCCAUCCUCUGAAGCUUGCUUCGUUUUAGAGCUGAAACAACUAAUCGAUUUAAUCGAUUAUAAUCGAUUAUUAAAAUAGUUAACAACUUUUUUAGUCAUCGAUUAGUUGUUUAAUAAUCAUAUUUUACCGCAUAAAGUCUAUUUUUUACCACAAUCUGACAUCGGUUACAAUCUGUUAAAUUUGCCGCCAGUGUGUGGCAGUAAUGAGCCACUGAUCUACCAGUGGGGCCGUAGAAGAAGAAAUUAGCCAAUAAGUGCCCUCGGUUUUCAUGACGUAUCACGUUACUGACGCGCAUCUUGCAGUGAGAGAUGGCGGAUCAACAACAAAUACGGAAGAAAAUAGAAGCGACAAAACAAGAGAAACCCCGGACAAAAACCUCACGAGUAUGGGAGCACUUCACUAGAUGCCUUGAAAAGACCGGUGACCUACAAAAUUUGCAAAAACCAUGGCACGACGGAAGCACGACGUCUCUAAGUGAACAUUUGAGAUGAAAACAUGGGGGCUGAUGCAGCAGAGGAAAGUCCGAAAAAAACAAGCAACGAUGGACAACUACAUGGGGAACAAGACACUCACCCCCAGCAAUGCAUACCACUUACAAACUCUAUUCCAGGUUUUACAUUAUUUUUUAUGGAAUUUACCUCUUAUAUUUUGAUGCCAAAAAAUUAUUCUGGACUGAUAUUUUGCACUGUUUAGCUCAUUUUACACUGCUGACUGUGGUCAUGUGCAAUAAAAUAGAUUGCAGUCAACUGCACAA